GGAAGCCGAGGCAGGCGGAUCACCUGAGGUUGGGAAUUCGAGACCAGCCUGGCCAACAUGGUGAAACCCCAUCUCUACUAAAAAAUACAGAAAAAUUAGCCAGUCGUGGUGGCACAUGCCUGUAAUCUCAGCUGCUUGGGAGGCUGAGGCAGGAGAAUCACUUGAAGCCGAAAAACAGAGGUUGCAGUGAGCCCAGAUUGCCCCACUGCACUCUAACCCGGGCGACAAGAGUGAAACUCUGUCUCAAUUAAAAAAAAAAAAAAAAAGAAAUAAAAGAAAGAAAGCAAGAAAGCAUUAAUUCCCAUGCACUGGUCCUGGAGAAUCUAUAAUUCAGUCUUUUAUCACAGGUUCACAUUCCCUUAUAAAAAGAAAUACAGAAUCACAUAUACUGCAAUACUUCCAGAAAUAAAUCAUCCACUGAGUCUUAAAAGUAAAGAACUCUGUGUUCUUGCUCUGGUGUCUACAUAACCGGGAUCUUAUAAGUAA
rnacentral:lncRNA from 1 species